rnacentral:miRNA from 2 species
GUAAGGGAAGAGGGUGGUAUUU